UACGUAGGGUGCAAGCGUUGUCCGGAAUUAUUGGGCGUAAAGAGCUCGUAGGCGGUUUGUCGCGUCGGCUGUGAAAACUGGAGGCUUAACCUUCCAGCGUGCAGUCGAUACGGGCAGACUUGAGUUCGGUAGGGGGAUGCGGAAUUCCGGGUGUAGUGGUGGAAUGCGUAGAGAUCCGGAGGAACACCAGCGGCGAAGGCGGACAUCCUGGACUGGUCCUGACACUCAGGAGCGAAAGCGUGGGGAGCGAGUCCGGG
rnacentral:rRNA from 1 species